rnacentral:piRNA from 1 species
AUUAGGUUGGUGCAAAAGUAAUUUUGGGUUC